AAUACACAAAGCUGUCGGGAAUUCAGCUGCAGCCUCGGGACGAGACGGGUCAGGGACACCCGGUGUCUCCCCGUGGCCCAAACAUCCCCGCUUUUUGACUUAAUCGCCGCGCCAAACGAUCCAGUGCGUUGAACCGCUCGUCCUGCAGCCCAUUCCGACUUUAUCAAAGACACUGCUCCGCAUUAACGGUUAAAAGAAAAACAGACGAGGCUGACUCCCAAAGAGCCAGGUCCUAUAAAGGAAGUAAAACGUGAACGGGAAUAAUACGGUGACGGCAGCGCACGGAAUAUCGGCGAGUGAAAUACGGAUCUGACGUCUCUGGAACGCGAGGCGCACCUUCGGAACACCACGUGUGUAAACGGUGCGCUUCCAAAAGUCAGAUCCAUCACCUCUGCCGAGGGGGUCCCUCCGCACUGACACGCGCACACACCAAUUCAACCGCCCGAAAGCGAUCGCGUCCUUCAUUCGCUGCAGCCAGAGCCCUCCUCGGCGCGCUGACCUGACCCGCCGCGGCUAGUUUUAGGGCAGGAGGCGUUGAAUUAGCGGGACCCGGAUCCAACAUUUAAUUAAAUUGAUUACUUAAUUAAACAAAGGAGAGGAGUGCGUGUUUGUGAGCCCGAGGACCUGCAUUAGCAGCGCGCCCUCUCCGAAGAACGGCCGCCGGGAGCCCCGGCCGCUCCCUCGCCGCUGCCGCCCGGCCCUGGCCCCAUUACCUCCCGCUGCCCCCCUCCCGGCUCCCGGCGGUGUGAAGCCGGGCCGAGCUCCACGCAUCCUCUCGGUUCCAGCCCGGCCCCGCGGCUCCCGCACUCGGUGUCCCCGAGGGUUGCCCCGCUGCUCGGACGUGAGCCCGCGCUGCUCGCUCACUCUGUUUCUCUCCCAUCUGUGUCCAUUGUGUUCACAACUGUGUCCUUUCCUUUCGCCCCCCCUCCCCCCGAGUGUCUUCCAACCUGUCUGUUCCCCUCCUUCCCUCUCCCACCCCUCCACCCCGCCUCUGAUCUCCGGGAUAUUUGGUUUCUUUCCCUUUCUCAAUGUGUGUUCCUGAUGUGGUCCUGUCGGAAAAGCUCGUUUACUCUGCUCGGGUCUCCAGUGGUUUAAGGAUAAUGUUUAUCAGAAGUGAACGUGCUCAACUUGUUUCCAUUCAACUGCUGAGUGUGGGCUGAAAUACCAAAGGUCACAUCUACAGUGAGUCGGUAGAGGGCAGGGGGAGCCGAGAGGAAUAUGAAAACAUUGUAAUAUACAACAGCCUGUUGAUCGCUCGUGACCCGCCUGGCAAAAAGAUUUUUUUUUUUUUUUUUUUUUCAGGUAGGAAAUAAUUGAAGAAUUGAAGGGGAAAAGUGGCACGGAG
rnacentral:lncRNA from 1 species